rnacentral:rRNA from 2 species
UUGGAGGUUGUGGCCUUGAGCCGUGGCUUUCGGAGCUAACGCGUUAAGUAGACCGCCUGGGGAGUACGGUCGCAAGAUUAAAACUCAAAUGAAUUGACGGGGGCCCGCACAAGCGGUGGAGCAUGUGGUUUAAUUCGAUGCAACGCGAAGAACCUUACCUACUCUUGACAUCCAGAGAACUUUUCAGAGAUGGAUUGGUGCCUUCGGGAACUCUGAGACAGGUGCUGCAUGGCUGUCGUCAGCUCGUGUUGUGAAAUGUUGGGUUAAGUCCCGCAACGAGCGCAACCCUUAUCCUUGUUUGCCAGCGAGUAAUGUCGGGAACUCCAGGGAGACUGCCGGUGAUAAACCGGAGGAAGGUGGGGACGACGUCAAGUCAUCAUGGCCCUUACGAGUAGGGCUACACACGUGCUACAAUGGCGCAUACAGAGGGCGGCCAACUUGCGAAAGUGAGCGAAUCCCAAAAAGUGCGUCGUAGUCCGGAUUGGAGUCUGCAACUCGACUCCAUGAAGUCGGAAUCGCUAGUAAUCGUGGAUCAGAAUGCCACGGUGAAUACGUUCCCGGGCCUUGUACACACCGCCCGUCACACCAUGGGAGUGGGCUGCAAAAGAAGUAGGUAGUUUAACCUUCGGGGGGACGCUUACCACUUUGUGGUUCAUGACUGGGGUGAAGUCUCA